GGGCGAGUAACUCAGUUGGUUAGAGUGUCUGCUCGACACGCAGGAAGUCGGGAGUUCGAAUCUCUCCUCGCCCA
rnacentral:tRNA from 1 species